AAGCCACCCCCUGGUGCUUUUUGUACUAUGCAAUGUUUUUCAUGGUUCUCUUAAGUUUAGGGAGUAGUAGUUGUUCAGAUGCACAUCCAUUUUUGAAUUUAACUGCCAAGUGGUGUUAGUUGAGCAAACAUUAUGCAAAUGACUUGGAAGUUCUUCCUUUGAAUGGUAGUUGGAAGAGUGUCUGACUUGGCGAUAGGUAGCAUGGUUUGUUGGAUCAUAUACAUAUGUAUAACGUUUUUCUUUGGACUUCGUUGUUCCUCAUCACCUGCCAAUACCCUCUACAGAUAUGGAUCCGCCGCCACCAAGCACGCCGCUGCUAGCCACCGCUCCUCCUCCCUAUCACCAACCAGGAUGCUUGGAAUUCUGUUUGUGGAUUCUGUGCUGCUGUGGUAUAUUUAAAUGCUGCUGCCCUCCACUGUUUGAGCCUGGCCCGCCUCCACCAUAGUGCUACAUUUUCUUAUGACCCUACUUUGUAUGAAAUUAUGAACUGUUUUGUGUAAUUGGUAGACUGAAAUAUUUGCUAGAUCUAAACUAUUCCAAUGUGGCUAUAGGUGUUCAUGAAUCUCUAUUUUUUUUUAUUUAGUUUUAUUUCUCUACUAAUUUGUAACUAAUAAACUUUACCAUUUUUAC